rnacentral:rRNA from 1 species
UACGUAGGGUGCAAGCGUUGUCCGGAAUUAUUGGGCGUAAAGAGCUCGUAGGUGGCCUGUCGCGUCGGCUGUGAAAACUCGGGGCUCAACUCCGAGCUUGCAGUCGAUACGGGCAGGCUAGAGUUCGGCAGGGGAGACUGGAAUUCCUGGUGUAGCGGUGAAAUGCGCAGAUAUCAGGAGGAACACCGGUGGCGAAGGCGGGUCUCUGGGCCGAUACUGACACUGAGGAGCGAAAGCGUGGGGGGAGCGAACAGG